AUGUACCAUGAAAUUAUCGGGUUCGGAGCAGCGGAUCAGCUUCUUACGAAUACCGCUUGUGCACUUCGAACGGAAAAAUAUACCAAAGGAAGAGACGCGACCAGCCAGAGUUGGAAUUUGAAGGCUUAUUGGGGAGAUGGCGACCGGAUUACCAAUAUUCUUGAACGAAGCCAGAGUAUCGCAACUACUAGACGGACAAUGGUUACCCCUGAUCGAUGCUAUGCACCAAGCUCUCUUGGCGUCAGCUUUGAAACAUGCUGUACAACCUCUGAGAUCUUUUACACCCAUCAGAGACGAGGGGUAUUGGAAGCCACGGAAAUAACAGCCAGGAGAACAGCGGCAGCUUCUGUAGCGGCCACGAAUAUUUUGUACAAAAAGAGACACUCAUUGUCAAACAGUUCCGAUGAGCCGAUCGUUCUCGGUAUAUUCGGAGCCGGAGUACAGGGGAAAAAUCACGCAUUGGCCUUUCAUGCUGCUUACUCAAAUAUAUCAGAGAUCCGCAUUUGGAAUCAUCGGCUGCCCAAGGCGGAACGUUUAGUUGCAGAGUUGAAAACCCUCGGCAUUAAUCAGGCGCGGGUAGCUCGUACCGGAAGAGAAUGCGCCGAAGGAGCGGACAUCUUAGUUACGGCGACUUCUUCCUCCGAACCAAUCCUCUUCGACGAGUGGGUCAAAAAUGGCGCCCACAUCAACGCUGUCGGCAGCGGUCGUUUUCAUUACUGUGAACUGGAUUUACCGCUCUACCGAAGGGUCAAAAUCUAUUUGGACAACGAGUCAAGCGGGCGCAACGAAUUGCGGGGGCUCGUGGUCCAGGGCAUUUCUUUGAUCACCUCCGUAGGUAACGUUUUCCUCGAACCGAAUCUGAUGCCGGGAAAACAGGAUAUCACGGUCUUCCAUUCGAUCGGCAUGGCUGCCGAAGACGCUCUGGCAGCUCAGCUUGUCUACAAACGACAUUUGCUUUCUCGGCCUUCGAACUGAUCAGGUUUUCAAUUCGUUUUAUUAGGCGAAAGAAGAUUCGACGAAUUCUAAAGCUGUUCGGAACACGUGAUCCUUUUGGCAUGGUUUUACAUAUCAGAGCUGAGCGAUCCUCGCACCGUCAGACCGAACGUUCAGCCUGAAACAAAGGAUCGAGCAAAUGUGUGAUUUCGGCAUCGAACGUCCAUCAUAAUCAACGCACAAAGCGACCCGUGGGACGAAUGAUCGCAGAGCGAGUGGAUCCCGCGGAUCAUUUUCAGGAAAUGAGAAGGAACGAUCCCAACGCCCAUUCAUCCUUCCGUCGAGAUCAGAGCGAAGAGUCGUAAGAAUCCACGGGAGGUGACGAAGGUGCGACCGAAACAGGCUGGUGCGGCUGACUCUGGCUUCCUGCGGCUUCGGGCUCUUCACGCUUCAGUAGUCAAGUCAUGUUUUGGUCGGCCGGCUAAGGGUGUUCGGGCGAAACGGAGUAGCAAAGGUACGCGACGGGUCGGGCGUCAGAGGCUCGCGGAAGCUGGCGGCCGACUGGCGAUGCCCGUUUCUACUAGGCGUGCGUCGGACAGAGAGGAGAGAAGUGGAACCAGACGGAGACGCGUGCACGUACCUAGGCGUACAUAUCCAUCCACGUCCGUAUGAAGUGGAGGCGAGGGAUAAACGCAGGGCAUACGUGAUACCGCGGUAUUGCGAGAUUCUUAGACUUCCCGAGUUUUCAGCUUCUAACUUUUCGCAUUACGCGAUUUUGAGGAGUUCGAACCGUACGAAAAUUAACGUCCAGUUCUCGAUAAAAUUUGGUAAUUCUAUAGAUUUGCGUAAUUCAAUCACCGGAUCGAAAUUUUGUACCGAUUCGCGGGAUUGUUUAUGAGAUAUAAAAAAAUAUGUCUUUCCUCGUUUUUUACACGUAUUCUUAUGGAGGAACGGACGUGGAUUCAAGUUAUCAAUUAAAUUUGUAAUGAAGUGACAUUGAAAUUUCGUUGAAAUUUUUUUUGGCACCGGAAGCAAGUCUGAUGCUAAUUGAUAAAGAUAUUUCAGAAUUAUUCAUCACUCCCGUGAUAUUGGAAAGAAUUAUUUUAAAAAAUUUAUACACGCCUGAGGUUGGAUCCAGCUGUGCAGGCCGUAACACGCUGUGACAUGGCAACGGUGCAUCACAAUAUUAGAUCGCUAUGGAAGCUCUCAAGAUCCCUGGCGGAAUUUUAGUUAGCACGAUUAGCGAACGCAGAUAUUCCAAGACAUACUUAACUCUGGUCUGAAGAGCCUGGAAACUGAUUGAAGACUGCUGCAGGAGCUGAUUGAAACCUGACGCACGUCGGUUCGUUAACCCAACUGGUAGCAAUGUUGGCCUGGAGCUAACGAGAUCAAUUCUCAGGACGGGGAAAUUACAGGCUGAGUAACGAAGUCGAGGCGAGAAGGCCAGGAGACAUGAUACCGGAAAUUAAGAGUAUAUUGGAAUUGGGAACCAUCAACGGUCCAGAUGAGAAGGUGAACCCUUUAUAUUUCCCGGGAUUUGCCAAAUUUCCAUUCAAGAGGAUUUUAAUGUCGAGGCAAGAGCAAAUUGGAAGGAAAUGUGCGAGCCAGGGUUGGCUGCGCUGGACCGUAAGCUGCAUACGUUCGCCGACUCUGAACAGUACGAGAUCACUGAAAAAUUGAUUCUAGUAUUAACUGAACUGGAUCAAAGCCCAACAAAAAAAAAAAACUGGAGGCGUUUACCUUGCUUUUUCUUCGACCUUGGAGCCGGAAUCUUUUCAUCUUCGAAUCGAUUGAAAUCAACAUUGCCAGUCUAAUUGGAUUACGAGGACCACAGAAAAGGGAUUCCAAAUAUUGGAGAACCGACAUUCCAGUACAUACAAAAAAUGCAAAGAAUUUAAUUUAUUUAUAUGUUGAUUUUAUGUCAGGUUACAUCAAAUAAGAACAAUCCAUAUCUAGUCCUGCAAAAGUGCUUUGCACCUCUACGUGGACCAAAACUUGAUCUAUACUGAUAAACUACAAUAAUAGCUAUCUGAUACAGAUGCAGGUUGCACUCCUUUCACCUCGUAUGAUUGUCAGACGUGAUACGUUAUGUAAGAUGAUUUUUUAGCAUUUCGUUUGUGUUUGACUUGAAUACUCUUAGGCACCUUGUGGAGUUACUAUCCACUGAAACCCGAUCGCUUGUACUAGAAUUAAGGUGUACUUGAUAAACUAAUAAAAAAAUUUGAAUUCUA
rnacentral:misc_RNA from 1 species